rnacentral:rRNA from 1 species
GAUGAACGCUAGCUACAGGCCUAACACAUGCAAGUCGAGGGACCGGCGCACGGGCGAGUAACACGUACCCAACCUGCCUUUUAAUCGGGGAGAGCCUUUCGAAAGAAAGAUUAACACCCGACAAAAAGGACGGUGGUUCGUUCCAUUAGGUUGUUGGUGAGGUAACCGCCCAUCAAGCCCUCGCUGGAUAGGGGUUCUGAGAGGAAGGUCCCCCACAUUGGAACUGAGGCACGGGCCAAACUCCUACGGGAGGCAGCAGUGAGGAAUAGUAGUCAAUUGGCGGUAGCCUGAACCAGCCAAGUAGCGUGAAGGAUGAAGGCUUAUGGGUCGUAAUCUUCUUUUAGAUAAGAAUAUGUAUUAUAUUAAUAAGGAUCGGCUAACUCCGUGCCAGCCGCCGCGGUACUUC